rnacentral:rRNA from 1 species
AGAGUUUGAUCCUGGCUCAGGACGAACGCUGGCGGCGUGCCUAACACAUGCAAGUCGACGGGGUAGAGAGCUUUCGGUUUUCUACUUAGUGGCGAACGGGUGAGUAACGCGUGAGAAACCUGCCUUUCAGUGGGGGACAACAGUUGGAAACGACUGCUAAUACCGCAUAAUGUUUCGAGAGGGCAUCCUCUUGAAACCAAAGCUUUAUGUGCUGAAAGAUGGUCUCGCGUCUGAUUAGCUAGUUGGUGAGGUAACGGCUCACCAAGGCGACGAUCAGUAGCCGGUCUGAGAGGAUGAACGGCCACAUUGGGACUGAGAUACGGCCCAGACUCCUACGGGAGGCAGCAGUGGGGAAUAUUGGGCAAUGGGGGAAACCCUGACCCAGCAACGCCGCGUGAAGGAAGAAGGCCUACGGGUUGUAAACUUCUUUUACCAGGGACGAAUUUUGACCGGUACCUGGAGAAAAAGCAACGGCUAACUACGUGCCAGCAGCCGCGGU